GCCGGGGUGGGGUAGUGGUAGUCCUAGAGGCCUGUGGAGCCUUUGGCACGGGUUCAAUUCCCGUCCCCGGCCCCA
rnacentral:tRNA from 1 species